rnacentral:rRNA from 1 species
ACGGAGGGUGCAAGCGUUAUUCGGGUUUAUUGGGCUUAAAGGGCGCGUAGGCGGCUUGUCAGGUCAGAUGUGAAAUCCCACGGCUCAACUGCAGAACUGCAUUCGAAACCGGCAGGCUUGAGUAUAGUAGAGGGAAACGGAAUUCCCGGUGUAGCGGUGAAAUGCGGAGAUAUCGGGAGGAACACCUGUGGCGAAAGCGGUUUCCCGGACCAAUACUGACGCUGAUGCGCGAAGGCGCGGGGAUCAAACAG